rnacentral:lncRNA from 1 species
CCCAUCCUUCACUGUAUCCCUUCCCAAUUUCUUUAGGACGCCUGCAAUUCCAGCAGCAGAUAGGCGGGCACCACGAGAGGCAACAAUGCCACAGAGCUCAACAAUAACUUUUCUCAUUUUCAGGGAGGUAUUAGGUAUCUGAGCAAGAAAUAAGAAACCAGAUAACAGAUGCUAUUAUAAAAUCAAGAAAAUUAUUUUGCUGCAUGAUUGUUAAGUUCACAUGUUAAUGACAAAAAUUGCAACUCUUGUAUUUACUUCUAUAUUUUUCAGCAAGAAUGCUUCGACACUCAAUAAGGCAUUCGAACAUCUUGCAUGAAAUGACCGUUGUUUUUCAACUUGGGGUUAGGUGUACGGACAAAUUGCCUUCUGCCAGGCCUUCCAUGAGAGAUGUAUUGCAAAUCCUUCGUCAAUGCAAUAAUCCCACUUGUUUAUGGACUCGAGGAUAUAGGAAGAGAGAGUCAAGCUGUUAGGACAUUAUUGCAUAGGAUGUGAAAUUGUGAGUCCAAUUGAAAUGAUAAUAUUGCACUUUUUUUUUUUUUUUUCUUUUUUUUUUGUGAAACCGAGUCCUAGACUCCUAGUGUAAAUAAUUGUGAUGUGGCAAUAUGAUUAUAUGCUGAUGUGUAUUAGUUAGGUGAUGUGGCUGUGAUGCAAGAUGUAUAUAAACAAAAUCCUACCAUUAGUAAAAAUAAUAUAAUCUAAAUUUUUAAGCAUCUCCCAUGAAAUUAUUUAUGACUAUCUCAAAACUUAAAUUACUCUACUUAACUUUAAGACCAAACUCAAGAGCCUCCCAUAUAUCUGCCAUGUAGCUUUUAGCUAACAUUUGUGUGAUUGAGAUUUUAUAUGCCUUUUCGCAUAGAGAGAGUUAACAAAUUUUAGCUCUAAAGUUCAAUGAAAACAAUUUUCAGAAUUCUGUCAAAAUUUGAGUAGAAAACCUUAAAAUUUGGACAUUUAGUACCUGUAAUAAAGCAGUGAUUUAUAUAAAAUUAUAGCCGUCAGAAGUCACUAUAGACUCUUAUCACAUCAACAGAAAUUAAAAUGCUCACUCGGCAACAUAAUAAUCCCAUCCUCCACUAACAAUUCAUAUUCCACAACCGAAAUUUAAUUUAAAAAAAUUAGCAUACAAGGAAAUAAAAGAAUGCCUCUUCAGACACUAACAUUUCUUUAAUCUCACACAUUCAUUUCCAUUUUCAUGAAAGCUAAAUUUACACCAACCUGGGUAUCUUAUACUAACUAUUUAUAUUAGGUUUCUAAUCAUGUUGUUUAAGUUAAGAACUUAAUUAUAGUUAACCAAUUAAUCAGAUGAGUUACACUAAUAGCCAAUUCAAAUUUGUUAUCACAGCUAACGAUAAAAGAAAAUCUCCUCCUUAUUUCCAAUUGACCAGAGAAACAUAUUUGCCGAAUGUUGCUACUCAAAUAGCAGAAGUUUUUACAUCCCCCAGUUUUAUUUACCAGCUCCUAUAAAUUAAAGUACAAAAAAGAAAGAGAGAGACGAGGGAUCAAAAUAGCAGGCCUAGGCAUGGAAGCUUGAGAACAUGGCUGGCACUAUGCGAGUAUUUGAUCCAUCACUAAUUAUAAGCUCUAUAAGACCAUACACUAAGAACUUGCUGGCAUUACCUCAUGAACUAGGAGUCAUCAGUAGCUCUAGAUGAUCUGGAGUAACUGAUAGGAAGGGGGAAUGGAUAAUGUAUAAAAAUUUAAAAAAUGUACAUUCCUUUUAUCUAUCUAUACCUUUUCAAGAUUCUGCCACAUCUAGGUAUUGGGAGUGGGAGGCAGCCAGGAGGGCUGCUCCAAUGCCAGAGCCAUCAUUCGAGUGCUCAAUUACAAUGCUCUCAGAAACUUCCUCUCCAAGCAACUCCUUGAGAGUGCUCUCCAUGCAGACACGGAAUUUAGUGUAGUGCUCAAACAACCCACCAUCCAAUGCUAUUACCGACCUCUGCUUUUCCCCAUCCUUCACUGUAUCCCUUCCCAAUUUCUUUAGGACGCCUGCAAUUCCAGCAGCAGAUAGGCGGGCACCACGAGAGGCAACAAUGCCACAGAGCUCAACAAUAACUUUUCUCAUUUUCAGGGAGGUAUUAGGUAUCUGAGCAAGAAAUAAGAAACCAGAUAACAGAUGCUAUUAUAAAAUCAAGAAAAUUAUUUUGCUGCAUGAUUGUUAAGUUCACAUGUUAAUGACAAAAAUUGCAACUCUUGUAUUUACUUCUAUAUUUUUCAGCAAGAAUGCUUCGACACUUGAUUUUCUAAGAAUCACAAAAUGAUAUUAGAUAAUACAGAUGCGGAAAGUUUUGAUAAAACUAAAUGGAAUCAAAAGAGCACGAAAU